GGGUCAGUAGGUUGGUCGUGCCACCGGUACGUACUGGUCUCACUGAUUCCUCCUUCCUGAAGAACCGUAAUGCCAUUAAUUUGGUGUUGCGGGGAGACAGGACUGUUACUUUGAAAAAAUUAGAGUGUUUAAAGCAAGCUGACGCUUGAAUACAUUAGCAUGGAAUAAUGAAAUAGGACGAUCGAUCCUAUUUUGUUGGUUUCUAGGAUUGACGUA
rnacentral:rRNA from 1 species